AGAGUUUGAUCAUGGCUCAGGAUGAACGCUAGCCACAGGCUUAACACAUGCAAGUCGAGGGGAAACGACAUCGAAAGCUUGCUUUUGAUGGGCGUCGACCGGCGCACGGGUGAGUAACGCGUAUCCAACCUGCCCACCACUUGGGGAUAACCUUGCGAAAGUAAGACUAAUACCCAAUGACGUCUCUAGAAGACAUCUGAAAGGGAUUAAAGAUUUAUCGGUGAUGGAUGGGGAUGCGUCUGAUUAGCUUGUUGGCGGGGUAACGGCCCACCAAGGCUACGACCAGUAGGGGUUCUGAGAGGAAGGUCCCCCACAUUGGAACUGAGACACGGUCCAAACUCCUACGGGAGCA
rnacentral:rRNA from 1 species